CAGAACAGGAACGCUGAGGUGUUGAGGAACCAGAUCUCUGCUCCACUACUUCAUCUGAAAUGGACCAAAGAAGAGCAAUUUAUAUGGAAAAAGCACAGUCCUCUUCCUUCCAACAAUCAUAACAAACAUCGCUACCAAUCACAAGACUUGCACACAGUCAAAAUGUGGCCCCUAAGUCCUUCUCAAAUCGGAGUAAUCGGCAUUGAUAUUGGAAUCAAACUGAUAUCUCUGCAUGUGAAGAAAGCAUAUCCUUGACAACUUAUUUUCUUCUAGCAUAUCAACAAAAAAAAUCAUUAAGGUAAAAACAAAAGUUACCAUCAUAUAUUGCCUUGGGGAGGUGGAGGGCAAAGUGAGAGAAAUCUUGUUAAAACUGCAUUUUCUACGAUUCCCAGGACCAAUCUCCAGAAAUUCUGAUUUGAUAGGUCUGGAGUGGUUCCCAGGGAUCUGCGUUUUAAUAACAACAACACGUAAUUUCGAUGAAAGAGGUCUGGGAUCCAUAUAAACACUACCAUACAUAGUUGAUGGUAGUUCAAGAGUAAAAUUUAAAUGCUUUGUUUAAAACAACUUCCCUAACUCUAAACUCAGUUCCAUUCUUGUUCCAUCCAGCACCUGACCCUUGGUUUAUUCUGGUUUUAUCCCACUUGGGCCUCUGAAAUGAAUAAUCAGAUUUGGUUUACCCAAGUUUAAUUCUUGGCACACACUAAGUUCUUGGACAUGACAAUUUUCCCUGACGCCUUUGGCUCCUUGAUUGCCAUGGGUACCUAAAUCCAACCCAAAUCCCAAUGGAGACCUAUUUGGUCGCCCUGGCCACCCAGGAUGAGGAAAGGUGAUGAAGGGGAAAGUUUAGACACUAUAAUACUAAUAAAAUAUGAAUGGAGAAAUAUGACAAAGAAUCUGACAAGUCAGUUAAUUUUAAAAAGUAAAACCUGCUUCCCUGUUGUUCCUUACUUGUGCUCCACGGCAACACUUCAAAUGAUUCUUUUAUGCCACGGAGAUACUUCUUGUGGAAAGAUGCCAGGUAAGAGGUAUUCAACAUGUCUUUCAUCCUUUUCACUUCACUUACAUUUUGGUUAAGUCUAGAUUGCUUAAAAACCAGUGCAGGACCUACCCACCGGAUGUCUUCGAGAUGAUUUUAACAUCUGGUCAACUAGUGCCAAGUUUUAUCUUCUCAGAGCUCAUGCAUGCAUAGCUUCCUUACCAUCAAUGCUUUUAAAGUCCAAAAGAUAGCUCCUGUUAUCAACCAGGUAAAGUUGUAAGCUCAUUUUCACGUAAUUGCCAGUCACUGGAUUUUUUCUUCUUACACGAAGAUGGUAUGCAUUCACUACCUAAAGUGAAAAAUCAAUAAAAAUAAUAAACUACAAAAUAUCUACCUUUUUAUGCAAAAAAAGUCAAAACAAAUAAUUAAUAGGGGUGAGGUAGGAAAGGAAUAUCAAAUAAUUUUUUUAUAUUACUGGUAGUUCACGUUAGUAUUUAUUUAAUACCCACUAAGCAGUACUGUAUGGCAAUUAAGAUUUAAAGGAAAAGCUACUUGAAUAAAUUUGGGGUACUGAAGAAAAAAGUGAAAGAUAAAAGAAAAACUUAAAGAGAACCCAGAGAUUACAUAGGGUCCAGCUUUCACUCUAGAUAAGCAUCAACUCUAAAACAUCAAUUCUAAUUUGGUUGUCCAGUCUCUGCCUGAACAUGUUCAUGGAUGAUUAUGGAGUAGAAGGAACAAAGAGGACCAGGCACAGUGGCUCACGCCUGUAAUUCCAACACUUUGGGAGGCCAAGGUGGGUGGACUGCCUGAGCCCAGGAGCUUCAGACCAGCCUGGGCAACAUGGUGAAACCCCAUCUCUACAAAAACAUACAAAAAAAAAUCAGCCGAGUGUGGUGGCAGGCGCCUGUAGUCCCAGCUACUAGGGAGGCUGAGGUGAGAGGAUAGCCUGACCCUGGGUUGCAGUGAGCCAAGAUCGCGCCACUGCAAUCCAGCCUGGGCAACAGAGUGAGACCCUGUCUCAAAAAAACAAACAACAAAAACAAAAAACAAACAAAAAAACAACACUGCUUUGGGUUUUCAAAACAUCUGUGGUACUAAUUUCAAAAUGUUUCAGUACAGAAUUUUAAAAAUGUUAACGUUUCUUUUUUAACUAAAUAAGACUGCUCCAAAACAGAGAGAUCUGUUUUUUAAAUGAUUUUAAGAAAAUACUCAUUUCAUGUACAAAUAAUAAAAUGAAAAUGACUGAUUUAUUUGAACACAUCAAAUGCAUAUUUAUGUGGUAAGUUUGCACAUUUUUCUUCUUCCUUUAAAAGUUCACAAUCCUCAAGAAAAGAACAAGAGUGAAAGGCAUAUCUGAAAAGAAAAAAUGCCCCUCCCCACACAUAUAUUCAAAUAGAACUGAAAUGAAAUUGAGCACUAAUUUUUAAGAAAAGCAAACUGUAGGCUGAGAGUAAGGAAAAUGUACUCUAAGUAUUAAAAGCACUAGCCAAAUAAAAGAGAAUAUCACAACUUGGAGAAAAGUGUUUAUUGACUGAAUAAAUAUGUUCUGAUGAUAUAAUUUGUAUCGACCACUAGCUAUUACAGCCACCUGCCUCUGUCACCUAAAAAAAGAGAAAAGAAAAAUAACCUCCCUAAAAAAAAAAGAGAAAGUAAAAACAUACUAUCUUUGAAGACACUCAUGAUUUUUCAUUGCUAUGAUGCAUGCUGAAACUGGUAAGCUAUUUUCUCAGAUGAUUUCUAGUUGAUUACUUUUUUCUUGACCAAGAACACUUCUAUAAUUCAAAAUAUGUUGGUUCCCAGUAUCAACCACUUUUCAUCCUUAUAGAGGUUAUUUGUUUUGUUUUUAAUGUGCAUAGCAUAUUACUAGAAAAAGUUGGGCUUAAUACUCAACUCAGGAGCUCAGAGCAGCUUAUAAUAUAGAAAACUGGCUUCUACAAAUGAUCUUAUUACAUUAUAAUUUCCUACCUUCCAUUCAAAAUCCAGCUGCUUCAUAGCUCGGUAAACUUCAGCCAUAAUGUCAUACGGUUUGCUCUGACUUCGGAUUCCAAGAUGCCACUUAGCUUUUUUCACAGCUAAAGAUUUGGGCUUAGUCGUAUUCAGUGCAUCCAGUGGACAUCUUGCUUUGGGGCUGUCUGCUAUAAGAGGUGGCAUCCUUUCUGGAUGAGGUUUCAGGCCUGGGGGAAUAUGCAUGGCACUAUCAUCCAUAAAAGAACCAGAUGGAGGACUAGAGGCGAGGUAGAACUCACUGGCUUGGUUCAUUAUUCUCCGAUUGUCAAUGAUAAGAUGAUAAGCCACCGCAAGCUGGUCUUGAGGGUCACCACUAUAUAAACUGUUCAUUACUUCUGAUUCUGUACAUUCAAAUUUUUCACACACUUCUUUCACAGCCUCAUCAUCAAUGACGUUAGCAUCAUAGGAAGGGUCUUCAGGAAAUAAGUAACUGGGCAAAUCUUGUUUAAACCAUUCAUGCUCUCUAGGAAAAACACCACAAUACAUUAUUGUAAGACACGGUUUGGCAAGUCCAAAUAAUUUAGACAUAGGGCAAUAUAAUAGAAUAUAAUCAAAAGAUCUGGUCUCUAGACCUAGCUCUGCCACUUACUAGCUAUGUGAUCCUGAGCAAGUUAAUUACCCACCACCCUUGAAUAACUAUGGUUAUUAAGACUUGGCAUUUGGAUGACAUUUUCUCAAAAAUGAAAAAAGCGAGCCCAUCGCUUUAAGGAAAACAACCAGCAAUAUUUGUUGCCAAUGAUAAAAUUCAAGCUUUCAAGCAAAAAUUUCAAAUUUUGUAUUAUUUGUGUGAGUUUAACAGCUUCUCAAUACUUAAAGACUUUCUGAUAAAGUUGGUGUUAAUAAUAAUAAAUAUGCUUUUUUUCUUUUCCAACCACUUAUCUGAGUGAGGUCAGACCUUCUUUACACACUUCAACUAAUACAAAAUAAUGCAACAGACUGAAUGAAGAAGGUAUGAAAACCACACUUCAGCUAAUACAAAAUAGUGCAACAGAUUGAAUGAAGAAGAACCCUGGAAAUUAACCAAAGGCUUGCAACAAUCUGAAGACUGUUUAUUCAAGAAAAAUGGCUGAAUCUCAAUAAGAAAGGUGAGAUUUGUGGCUUUUUAAGUUGCCCUAAGUCCGCUUCCCUUUGUCCAGCUCCUUGGCAGCCUUGAAAACGAACAGCCUCAUAAUCACAGAACUGAGAAAACAGGAGCUUAACAAUCACUGGGGCAUUGAGGUGGGGAGAAUAGAGGAGCAGAAUAGUUUAGAGCUCCCCAAAAAUCUUACCAUGAGAGAACUGUGAUUAUUUUACAUGUCUAGCAGUUCUCUGGAAACCUCCACUCACAAGCCUGGUUUUUAUGUGACCUGACUCAGAGCUUACUCCUGCAAACAGCCUUCUCCCCAGGGCAUUUGUUAAAAAAGAAAAAACAAAAAUCAAUGGCAACUGUCUAACAUCACAACUGCCUGAAGCAGCAGCGAAAGCUGGGUAAAGGGAAAGCUGACCAAAACACUUAAAAGGAAAAAUUAGGAAACACAAUUUCCAGAGGGGUCUUUGGAAAGCUCUGAUAUAUUUCUGGAACUCAGAAAGGCCAGAAACAAAUGCAGGGUUGUGUGUUUGCCUGAGAAAAAACUGAAAGGGCCAUAAUUUCUCACCACUGGCAGAUUUUGAGGCUCUGCACAAGCAGGAAGUGAAGGCUAAGGCAGAGUUACAACUGCCUGUUGGAGCACUAAGGAUAUACCCCAACAUCACACAAAGCCCAUUAGCAAAGGAUGGGAGACUUAUUAGAUCAGGGCAUUUAAGGAAAUUUUUAUCUAAUCACUAGCUGAUCAUUAAGCUAACCAAAGAGAGAUUUCAGUAGCCAUAUAUAAAAAAGAAUACAGAUUUUACAGAAUCAGAUCAGAAAAAUCACUAAACAAACAGAAGCAGCAGCAACAACAUACGACAAUUAUAAACUCUAGAUAUAUACACCCAAGAGAAAUGAAAGCAUAGCCAUACAAAUUGUGUAUGUAAAUGUUCAUGGAAACAGUAGUCAUAAAAGCCACAAAUUAGAAACAAUUCAAUCUUCAUUAACUAAUGCAUAAACAAAAUGUAGUAUAUUCAUACACUGGAAUAUUUUUCAAGCAAAAAAAAUGAAGUACUAAUACAUGCUACAGUAGGAAAGUACUUUGUAAACAUUAUGCUAAAUGACAGACGCCAGAUACAAAAGACCACAUACUGUAUGAUUCCAUUUAUAUGAAAUGUCCAGAACAGGCACAAACACAGAAAGUAGAUUAGUGGUUGCCAGGGGAUAGGAGGAAGGGGAAAUGGGGAGUGACUAUUAGUGUGUAUAGUUUCUUUCACGGAUGAUAAAAUAGUUCUGGAAUUAGAUGGCCGUAAUGAUUAUGGAACUUUGUGAAUAUACUAAAAGCCAGUGAAUUAUACAAUCUAAAGGGAUAAAUUUAUGAUAUGUGAAUUAUAUUUUAAAAAUUAAUUUUAAAAAACAAUAAGGAAACAAUCUAAAUUUGAUUUCUAAUUCAUUAAUUUAGUCAAAUGGCCAUAAUUGCUUGUAAUAACUUACAAUUUUAAAAGCCAUCCUUCUAGCUUUUGAUUUUCAGGAGUCGGUUUCUGAACUAACUCUACCAAAGUGAGCAGUAACUAGGAUGUUUAUGAAGGUUCAUCUGAGACAAAAGCAAUUCACUUCACAUGGGCUAUUAUACAGGCAUCAAAAAUUAUAUUUUUCUGUCACUACUACCUGAUACCUGAAAUUGAUAUAUGACUUAAGGUUAGAUUAUAAAGACUAUCAAAUUUUAGAAACCUCAUGAUAUGCCCAAAUUUAUUUAAGUGCAGCUAAAAGGUUUUCAAAUAUUCCCUCAAAAAUAAUAAUAGCUAAUAUUAUGUUCUAGACAUUGUUCUAAAAGCUUUAAUUAUAUUAAGUCGAAUAUUUGCAGUUUCUGAUAUUCAAUCAUUUUCAGACCUACCUAAAUGGCAAUUUCACAAGGUUUGAUCUAUGACUACGCUCCCCAAAAUUCUAAUAUAUGUGGGAAGUAACUAAGUUGCACAUAGCUAAUAAACAGAUGCACUGGGAUUUGUGCUCAGUUGAACUUCAGACCGCUCACUUUAACUAUGAUAACAUUAAUACUAUUACUAAGCUUAAGAUACCUGGAGAACACAAAGAUGUGUUUUCCAUGAAGAUAAUAUCUAUCUUGUUUAACACUAUAUUACCAGCACCUAGCACAAGACCUUGCACAGAGCAGACGUGAAAUAAAUAUUUGUUGAAUGAAUAAAAGUGAAAAUGGUUAAAUAAGCAAAUAAAUAUGAAGAUAUAUUUCCGAACUUCCAAUGGCUAUCUUACAAGAAAAUAAUAGAUGUACAAAAAUAAUAUUGAGACAGUAAGUAUGUAGUAGCAUAAGAGAUAAAUAAAAUAUGAUAGAUUGAAAGGAUAGACAUCACAGAACUGAUGUAACAAUUUGGAAUAGUAGAAAUGGCACAGGUUUUGAAUUCAGGUAAAGUUCCAAGUUGAGCCCCAUUGUGCUCCUUAUUAGUUGUGUAAUUUUCAACAAACACAGAUUUACUUAACAUUUAAUAUGUGUUAGACCUUGUGCAUUUUGCUAUGAAUUAAUAAUUGGUCCCUAAUUUAAAGUAAUUUAUAAUUUAAUAGGGGCAAACAGAUACAUAAAUCAUGAUGUAACCUUUCUGAGCUUCAGUUUCAUGGUUUGUAAAAUGGUUUAUAGCUAUCUAUGAAAAGUCAAUGCAAUAACAUAAGUUAAGCCAUAAAGCAGAAUGCUUGGUAUUUUGUAAUUUUUCAAUGAUUAGUAAUUCUUUUCCCUAUUGAACUAUAUUUUAUCAAAUCAAGAAUUCCCAAACAUUGGCCAGGCGUGGUGGCUUAUGCCUGUAAUCCUGGCACUUUGGGAGGCCAAGAUGGGAAAACUGCUUUAGGCCAGGAGUUCAAGACCAGCCUGGUAAACAUAGCAAGACCCCAUCUCUUUAAAAAAAAAAAAAAAAAAAAAAUUAAAAAAAUGAGAAGAAUUCCCAAACAUUAAAAAAUUGAAUAUAGAUAAGUAAAUAUAUAUAUGACAUAAAUUAAAAAAGAUGAAAACUAUAGAUUCAAGUUAUCAUAUUAAAGUAUAGAGAUGAAUGAUACUUUCAUGCCAUCUACCUACGUACAAAUUAACUCUUCCCAGUAAAUAUAUUUACAUUUUUCUUCUGAAGUCUAUAAAUAUACAAACAUCUGUUUUAAAGCAAUGAAUCAGUAUUAUUACCAUUUGACUUUUUUUUUAAUAAAAAAAAAUUUUAAUAUAGA